CUUGAGGGCAAGAAUUAUAUUUUUAUCUUUUUUCUAUCCCUAGCACUUUGUUUACUGCCUGACACAUAGUAGGUACUUAAUAAAUGCUUAUUGAAUUUAAGACCAUAGCUUUAGAGCUUUAAGGUGCCUUCAAGAGCACUGAGUCUGGACCCCCUAACCCCCCUUUUUUUUUCUUUUUCAGAUGAUGUAACUAAGAUACAGAUAAGUUAAGGGACUUGUCCAGGAUCAUACAAUAACCUGUGUUUGAGACUUAGAGUGCACGUGCUCCUCACCACAGAAUGCCAGCUUCUCAAAGCUGUAUUUGAUCAUCUCUGGAGAAAUAAUGGGCAUGGAAAUAAUUAAGAAUGAGUCUGUCAAGGAAGUAUAAAAGGGCUACCAGCCUAUUCAGA
rnacentral:lncRNA from 1 species